CCUACGGGGGACAGCAGUGAGGAAUAUUGGUCAAUGGCCGGGAGGCUGAACCAGCCAAGUAGCGUGAGGGAAGACGGCCCUACGGGUUGUAAACCUCUUUUAUAAGGGAGUAAGGUGCCGUUCGGGACCUGCUGUGAGUGUACCUUUAGAAAAAGCAUCGGCUAACUCCGUGCCAGCAGCCGCGGUAAUACGGAGGAUGCGAGCGUUAUCCGGAUUUAUUGGGUUUAAAGGGUGCGCAGGCGGAUGCUCAAGUCAGCGGUAAAAUCGCGGGGCUCAACCCCGCUCCGCCGUUGAAACUUUGUCGCUUGAGUGCGCGAAGGGUAGGCGGAAUGCGUGGUGUAGCGGUGAAAUGCAUAGAUAUCACGCAGAACUCCGAUCGCGAAGGCAGCCUGCCGGAGCGGAACUGACGCUGAUGCACGAAAGCGUGGGUAUCGAACAGGAUUAGAUACCCGGGUAGUC
rnacentral:rRNA from 1 species